CAGUUCGGCGCCGCCAUGCCACGUUCGCUGCAGGACUCAGGAGCCCUCAGUCUGGCGCAUCCCAAGGGAAGGGGAUGGAGAUGUUCAAAAUCUCUCCUCUCCUGCUGCUCGUCUUCAGCUCAAGCAACUGCUCGGCGUGGACGGGCCCCAACGGCGUCUCGUUCUGGCGUUCGUUUGGGCCUCAAAAUACCUGAGCUGACUCUGAAUUCGUGGAGCUUUGCUAUUGUGCUCUGUGUUCUCGUUUUCUUGAGAUUUACAAGUUGUU
rnacentral:lncRNA from 1 species